AGAGGGAUGUCUGACUGCCGGUUCUCCCUAAACUGGCAGUCAGACACCCCCCAAGGGGUCCUGGAUGGUGAGAGAGUGCAAGCUGAGCUGAGGAACCUCCCCCCCACCCCGCAUGAAU